GGCACCAAGGCAAUGGAGUUGGCCUUUAAACCUGCCUCUUGAGUUUUUUGGGAUUUUCCGUGCAAAAACACUGAAAGAUGCAGAUAUGUCAACACCAUGGGCUGAUGAUAUUGAGCAAAAGGUUUUGAGCUCUCCCGAAGUUGGAAUUGGACCAUAUGUUGAGGUGGCAUUCUAUCAUAAAAAGUCGAGGACACUGCUUGUGACAGAUGCUGUAAUAUUUGUCCCAACUACACCACCUGACUGCAUUAGUAAGGAGUCCUUAUUAGCAUCUGCAAAAAAUGGUUUGGCUGUUAAAUUACUUAGUAAAGGAAAAGAGGUUCCAGAAGAAGCUGUCAUUGACAAUAAAAUCAAUAGACAGAAAGGAUGGGAGAGGAUGGUUCUUCAGAUUCUGUUUCUAGGUCCAUCAAACCUUCUGGAGCCAAAUGCUAGCUUUGCUCAGAUGUCACAAAAGCUAAUUGUUUCACCAAUUGUAAA
rnacentral:misc_RNA from 1 species